rnacentral:rRNA from 1 species
UACGUAGGAGGCAAGCGUUGUCCGGAAUUACUGGGCGUAAAGCGUGCGCAGGCGGUUUCACAAGCUCGAUGUGAAAGCCCCGGGCUUAACCUGGGAAUGGCAUUGAGGACUGUGGAGCUCGAGUGCGGCAGAGGGAGGUGGAAUUCCACGUGUAGCAGUGAAAUGCGUAGAGAUGUGGAGGAACACCGAUGGCGAAGGCAGCCUCCUGGGCCGACACUGACGCUCAUGCACGAAAGCGUGGGGAGCAAACAGG